UCACUACUUGCGUAGGCAGUCUGGCUAGAGUCCCCACCAUCACGUGCUGGUAACUAACCACAGGGGUUGCGCUCGUUGCGCCACUUAAGGCAACACCUCACGACACGAGCUGACGACAGCCAUGCAGCAUCUGUGCACGCUCCCUUGCGGGUCCUCCCGGUUUCCCGGUCGUACCACGUGCAUGUCAAGCCCAGGUAAGGUUCUUCGCGUUGCGUCGAAUUAAACCACACGCUCCGCUGCUUGUGCGGGCCCCCGUCAAUUCCUUUGAGUUUUAGCCUUGCGGCCGUAGUCCCCAGGCGGAGUACUUAUCGCGUUUGCUUCGGCACUGAGGGGGUCGAUACCCCCAACACCUAGUACUCAUCGUUUACGGCUAGGACUAC
rnacentral:misc_RNA from 1 species